CAGCAACAAAUUUCACUGGUGAACAGCCAAAAAAAUAAACUAUAGAAGAAUCAUUAUAAAAGCACAAUCACAGAUAUCACAACAAAUAUUGCUGAAAAUGCUGCUACCGAUGCCGCUGAAGAUACUGCACACACAAUAUGGCGACCGAUACGUAAAUAUGUCCUCUUUUCUUCCCCCAGAGAAAGACGAGUAUCGAAAAAGUUCUCUCUCUCUCUCUCUCUCUACAUAUAUGCACAAUAAUAAGGAUAAUAAAGAAAAUUUUGUCAAGUCGGAUGCCAAAGGACAUGUGCUUAACCAAAAUUUUACAAGAGUUAAAUGUAUAUAAACGUAUAAUAAAUUAUA
rnacentral:lncRNA from 1 species